AUUGAACGCUGGCGGCAUGCCUUACACAUGCAAGUCGAACGGUAACAGGUCUUCGGAUGCUGACGAGUGGCGAACGGGUGAGUAAUACAUCGGAACGUGCCUAGUAGUGGGGGAUAACUACUCGAAAGAGUGGCUAAUACCGCAUGAGAUCUACGGAUGAAAGCAGGGGAUCGCAAGACCUUGUGCUACUAGAGCGGCCGAUGGCAGAUUAGGUAGUUGGUGGGAUAAAAGCUUACCAAGCCGACGAUCUGUAGCUGGUCUGAGAGGACGAUCAGCCACACGGGGACUGAGACACGGCCCAGACUCCUACGGGAGGCAGAAGUGGGGAAUUUUGGACAAUGGGCGCAAGCCUGAUCCAGCAAUGCCGCGUGCAGGAUGAAGGCCUUCGGGUUGUAAACUGCUUUUGUACGGAACGAAAAGCCCCGGGUUAAUACCCUGGGGUCAUGACGGUACCGUAAGAAUAAGCACCGGCUAACUACGUGCCAGCAGCCGCCGUAA
rnacentral:rRNA from 1 species